rnacentral:rRNA from 1 species
AUUGAACGCUGGCGGCAGGCUUAACACAUGCAAGUCGAGCGAGCGGCGGACGGGUGAGUAAUGUCUGGGAAACUGCCUGAUGGAGGGGGAUAACUACUGGAAACGGUAGCUAAUACCGCAUACCAUCGGAUGUGCCCAGAUGGGAUUAGCUAGUAGGUGGGGUAAUGGCUCCCCUAGGCGACGAUCCCUAGCUGGUCUGAGAGGAUGACCAGCCCACCGGGAACUGAGACACGGUCCAGAUCCCUAGGGGGGGCAGCGGUGGGAAAUGUUGAACAAGGGGCGCAAGCCUGAUGCAGCCAUGCGGCGUGUGUGAAGAAGGCCUUCGGGUUGUAAAGCACUUUCAGCGAGGAGGCGUUACUCGCAGAAGAAGCACCGGCUAACUCCGUGCCAGCAGCCGCGGUAAUAC